GACGUAGGGUCCAAGCGUUGUCCGGAUUUACUGGGCGUAAAGAGCGCGUAGGCGGCUCGUUAAGUGUGAAGUGAAAUCUCUAGGGCUCAACCCAGAAACUGCUUUACAUACUGGCGAGCUGGAGUGAUGAAGGGGUUUGUGGAAUUCCUGGUGUAGCGGUGAAAUGCGUUGAUAUCAGGAGGAACACCCAUGGCGAAGGCAGCAAACUGGUCAUCAACUGACGCUGAGGCGCGAAAGCGUGGGUAGCAAACAGG
rnacentral:rRNA from 1 species